rnacentral:lncRNA from 1 species
AUAUUGAAACACUGGUUAUAAUAAACUCAGAGUGGCCAUCAGCCCUCUCCGCAUCUAUCCUGAUGUGCACAUUGGAUUGCGACACCGACAGAUGGCUAUCCUUGGGACGUACUGUAUGUUACCCGCUUUGCAUCUUUUCUCCAGAACACCCUUCCUUCAUUUGCCUCUGACUUGUUAUAUGUCAAGAAGAUGAACAUGUGGUUUAAGAGUGAGAACUAUGACCUGAUGCCUUUAAAUGGGAACUACAAAUAAUACGUGUUUUAUCAUUCAAAAGAGUGGGGUACUCAUUUCAGCUGAAUUUCUUCUCUCUAGGUCUUACUUUGGUUGUCUCAUUGAGACUCGAGGGGUUAAAUUAAAGAAUGCAUAGGUGACGUGAUAUACCUGAGACCAUGUAUGGGAUGAAAAUCUUAUUGAAAUUAGUUGAGGGAGGAAAGGAGUAUGGAAGAAUACAAAAUGGGGAUGGAGCAGGCAGCUGGAUCGCCCUGACAUGCAGGAAUCAUGUAUGGUAGCCAGAAGCCAUAGUGUAGAAUUUUGAGGGCUGAGCCAACUCAUAAAUUGUUUUUCUGAGGAAUAUCUUGUCCAUGUUUAUGGGUAAAUGGGGAUAGCAAUAAUAACACCUACUCCUCAAGUCUGUUGUGGUAUUCAAUAGGAUAAAAAAUAUAAGAAUUACUUUGUAAACUAUAAAGCUUUACAAAUAUUGGUUCUUAUUAGUCUCAAAUUUUCUGAUAUGCUUCUAAGGAGUAAUUAACAAAGUAGUGUUAAUCAACAUUUCUGAGCAAGUAGGAAGUCUCAAAAUGAAUGUACACACCUCCUCUGCCACCGAUGGGGUGACAUCUCUGCAGGACAGUCAGGAAGCACGGAGCACGCAGCGCAAUGGAGAGUCACGGAACUGAUGGAGCCUGUAUAACUGUAUCCUGAGGAAAGAGCCUGUGUUCAAUGAUGAGCUCCCAUCCCACAUCCUACGUGGCACCGUGUCCAUCUCUGUGAAGGAGUUCACAGAGACCUCAGCCAUGUUUGAGGAUGGGACUGUGUUUGAGGCCAUUGACUCCAUCAUCUUUGCAACAGGCUAUGAUUACACCUACCCCUUCCUUGAUGACUCCAUCAUCAAAAGCAGAAACAAUGAGACCCAUGGUCUCCAGGGGCUACCAGUAUGCUUAUGUGAGGAAAUCAAGAAUAUGAAGAUUACAUGGAGAAAGACAGUGUCUCAAAUACAUUGAUUUCAAUUUACUCCAAUCACAUUGAUCAUCAUUGUUAUUGAAAGUGUCUCGAACCUAAGGGUUUGAGAAUCUUGGCCAAUAUAAGUAUACUUUACCUAACAUACUAUCCAUAAAAACUUAGACUAUAGGUAAUGAAGAAAAUGUUACAAUCAUAGAGUGUGUGUAUGUUUUCUAAAAAUGUUAUGAAUAAAUAAAC